UCAUCGAAACAAUUUUACCUCCAAACUUUUCCUAAAAUUUACUUUGAAAUUUUCAUUUUCCCUCUCAACAAAAUUUCUCACUAGAAAAAUAAAAGUUUCCCUCUCACCCUCGUCUCUCUGAUUCCCUGUGGUUUCCAAGUUCCAUUUCAACCAUUCUUCAAAAAUCAUAAUCUACUAGUGGUUCGAUUGUGUUUUUGCAGUUUUCAUCACGAAUCUAGUUCAUACUCUUGAGGCACGAUGUGUACAACAAUAUUGGGUUUCUUAUCUUAUAACAACGCCCCUAGCCCUAGGUGGUCGUUUGGUGUUUCUAGUCAAAAAUUAUCAUCGAUCGUGUUUGUUUGAUUAAUUGAUUAGGUAUUGAAUAUGCCGUAUCCAACAAUGAUAUCCCGGGCAGAGCAACUUGUUAACCUUGAAUAUGUCAGCAAGGAGGUGGGUUGAUGAGAGAGAUUAGGAAGAGUUGCAGAGGGAGUGGUGUGGUGGAACCUGUUUAGAGGGAGAAUUGAGGGUUUCGGUGGUGGUUAGGUGGAGUUGGGUGGUGACAUGGUGGUUGUAGGUGGUGGUGUUAGGAGGAAGAAGAGGUUGAGGGGUGGUGGUGUUAGGAGGAAGAAAUCGAUUUGAGGUAUGUGACUGAAUAAGUCAUGUAUAUAUCACGUACUGGUUAAUAUUUUGGGAUUGGAGUUUGAUAUCCCAGUUUUUAUGUUCACAGUUCGAAAAAUCAAUUUGAUAUCACUGUUUAAAUUGAUUUGUUGUUUUUAUUGUUGGGUGAUUGCACAUAAAGAAGUCUGGUGGGACGACGCAUGAUUAUAGACGGCAGAACGGUUUGAACUCUCACCGAUUUCUACUUGAGGUUGGAGAUGAAGUUUUCCUCAAAAGCAUUCUAAACUCUACCGAGAUUGUAGCAAGAGGAAGAGUCCAAAGUUUGGACCCAAAUGAUCUAGUUGGUGGUACAGAGAUUGGACCAGAAUGGUGUGAGGUAAACGUUCAAGUACCAAUAAAAAAAGAUGAAAACUUAGUAAGACCAUAUGGUUUAUUUUCUACAAUUCAAGAUUUUAUUGGUGCAUCCAUCGCAUGGCCCUAUCCAUUCAUCUCGGUAGUCCAUGAGGAUUGAGUACGCAUGAUGACUCAAGAUUUUAUACUUCUUAUUUCUUUAAUUGCUUUUAAUUUCUUUGUUAAAUGCUAAGACUUUAUGUUAGAUAAUGUUAUCACUUAUUUAUGGU
rnacentral:lncRNA from 1 species